GACGAACGCUGGCGGCGUGCCUAAUACAUGCAAGUCGAGCGGACGGAUGGGAGCUUGCUCCCAGACCGUCAGCGGCGGACGGGUGAGUAACACGUGGGCAACCUGCCUGUAAGACUGGGAUAACUCCGGGAAACCGGGGCUAAUACCGGAUAACUCUUUCCCUCCCAUGAGGGAAAGCUGAAAGAUGGCAUCUCGCUAUCACUUACAGAUGGGCCCGCGGCGCAUUAGCCAGUUGGUGAGGUAACGGCUCACCAAGGCGACGAUGCGUAGCCGACCUGAGAGGGUGAUCGGCCACACUGGGACUGAGACACGGCCCAGACUCCUACGGGAGGCAGCAGUAGGGAAUCUUCCGCAAUGGACGAAAGUCUGACGGAGCAACGCCGCGUGAGUGAUGAAGGUUUUCGGAUCGUAAAACUCUGUUGUCAGGGAAGAACAAGUACCGGAGUAACUGCCGGUACCUUGACGGUACCUGACCAGAAAGCCACGGCUAACUACGUG
rnacentral:rRNA from 1 species